rnacentral:rRNA from 1 species
CCUACGGGGUGCAGCAGUGGGGAAUAUUGCACAAUGGGGGAAACCCUGAUGCAGCGACGCCGCGUGAGUGAAGAAGUAUUUCGGUAUGUAAAGCUCUAUCAGCAGGGAAGAAAAUGACGGUACCUGAUUAAGAAGCCCCGGCUAACUACGUGCCAGCAGCCGCGGUAAUACGUAGGGGGCAAGCGUUAUCCGGAUGUACUGGGUGGAAAGGGAGCGUAGACGGCAGCACAAGUCUGGAGUGAAAUGCCGGGGCUUAACCCCGGAACUGCUUUGGAAACUGUGCAGCUAGAGUGCAGGCGAGGUAAGUGGAAGGCCUAGUGUAGCGGUGAAAUGCGUAGAGAUUAGGAGGAACACCAGUGGCGAAGGCGGCUUACUGGACUGUAACUGACGUUGAGGCUCGAAAGCGUGGGGAGCAAACAGGAUUAGAUACCCGAGUAGUC